CGGAGUGGCGGACGGGUGAGGAAUACAUCGGAAUCUACUCUGUCGUGGGGGGAUAACGUAGGGAAACUUACGCUAAUACCGCAUACGACCUACGGGUGAAGCAGGGGAUCUUCGGACCUUGCGCGAUUGAAUGAGCCGAUGUCGGAUUAGCUAGUUGGCGGGGUAAAGGCCCACCAAGGCGACGAUCCGUAGCUGGUCUGAGAGGAUGAUCAGCCACACUGGAACUGAGACACGGUCCAGACUCCUACGGGAGGCAGCAGUA
rnacentral:rRNA from 1 species